UGGGGAAUAUUGCACAAUGGGCGCAAGCCUGAUGCAGCCAUGCCGCGUGUAUGAAGAUGGCCUUCGGGUUGUAAAGUACUUUCAGCGGGGAGGAAGGGAGUAAAGUUAAUACCUUUGCUCAUUGACGUUACCCGCAGAAGAAGCACCGGCUAACUCCGUGCCAGCAGCCGCGGUAAUACGGAGGGUGCAAGCGUUAAUCGGAAUUACUGGGCGUAAAGCGCACGCCGGCGGUUUGUGAAGUCAGAUGUGAAAUCCCCGGGCUCAACCUGGGAACUGCAUCUGAUACUGGUAGGCUUGAGUCUCGUAGAGGGGGGUAGAAUUCCAGGUGUAGCGGUGAAAUGCGUAGAGAUCUGGAGGAAUACCGGUGGCGAAGGCGGCCCCCUGGACGAAGACUGACGCUCAGGUGCGAAAGCGUGGGGAGCAAACAGG
rnacentral:rRNA from 1 species